AGUGAACGCUGGCGGCGUGCUUAACACAUGCAAGUCGAACGAGAACGGAUUAUAGCUUGCUAUAAUUGUCAGCUAAGUGGCGCACGGGUGAGUAAUGUAUAGGUAAUAUGCCUCUUACUAAGGGAUAACAAAUGGAAACGUUUGCUAAUACCUUAUACUCCUUAUUAACAGAAGUUAAUAAGGGAAAGAUUUAUUGGUAAGAGAUUAGCCUGUAUUGUAUCAGUUAGUUGGUGGGGUAAUGGCUUACCAAGACUAUGACACAUAACUGGUUUGAGAGGAUGAUCAGUCACACUGGAACUGAGACACGGUCCAGACUCCUACGGGAGGCAGCGGUGGGGAAUAUUGCACAAUGGACGAAAGUCUGAUGCAGCAACGCCGCGUGGAGGAUGACACAUUUCGGUGCGUAACUCCUUUUAUAUGAGAAGAUAAUGACGGUAUUAUAUGAAUAAGCACCGGCUAACUCCGUGCCAGCCGCCGCGGUAAAAC
rnacentral:rRNA from 1 species